rnacentral:rRNA from 1 species
UACGUAGGGUGCAAGCGUUAAUCGGAAUUACUGGGCGUAAAGCGUGCGCAGGCGGUUAUGCAAGACAGAUGUGAAAUCCCCAGGCUUAACCUGGGAACUGCAUCCGAUACUGGAUGGCUUGAAUCCGGGAGAGGGAUGCAGAAUUCCAGGUGUAGCGGUGAAAUGCGUAGAUAUCUGGAGGAAUACCGGUGGCGAAGGCGGCAUCCUGGACCGGCAUUGACGCUGAGGGAGCGAAAGCCAGGGGAGCAAACGGG